AUCUUUCAGAGAAAUAUUGAAGGAGUAAACUGGGUCUUCCAGCCUACAUCUUUCUCCCAUGCUGGAUGCUUCCUAACCUCAACAUUGGACUCCAAGUUCUUCAGCUUUGGGACUCCAGGACUCUUUGGGACUCUUCAACCACAGACUGAAGGCUGCACUGUCGGCUUCCCUAUUUUUGAGGUUUUGGGACUCAAACUGGCUUUCUUGCUCCUCAGCUUGCAGACGGCCUAUUGUGGGACUUCACCUUGUGAUCAUAAUUGCCCCCCUGGGGUCCUCUUGGCUUCUCUCUCCUGUCGUGGAACCAUGCCUCACAAAGCAAGGGCUGUUGGCCCAGAGUACUCUCUGCUUACUGCAUGAAAGAAGAACCUCUGAUUCAUGCAUGAGGCUGGAUGAAUGAAAGGAGCCCAUAGCUCUCCAUCAUACUCCCCUGAAACAUAGCCUCAGCAACAAGCUUCUAAGGGCAGAACGAGAAAUGAUGAAGCCCCGCUCCUCCUGGGAAGCAGAAAACUACAGCUGAAAGAUGGGGAGGAGUUUUGGAAUUUUCACCACUUACCAGUUAUUUUGGAGAGCUGAUCAGUAGAACGCCUCAUGCUGUCAUCAUAGAAGUUGAUCAAAGUAUUGUUUUCUUUCAGUCCACUAAUUAUAUUUUGUCCUCAAAUUAUAUUCUACCAAAAUUCUGUUUCACCAUAGUCCAAGUAUUUUAAAAAGUUUUCUUGCCCUGUUCUUAUUAUGCAAAACGUAAGAACUAUCCUUUUCCACCAUCUCUUUGAAAAAUCAAAUAUAAAACUGAAACACAAUUCUGUUCCUUUCAUGGUAAUCUUUUCUAUAGUACUCUAUUUUCUGCUCAUUGCUGACAGUAAUGACCACAUAUUACAUUUCAAAUAUGUAUCUAGUUUUCCUAAUCCCUUAUCAAAUAUAUAUUUAUGAAUUGCAGUGGCAGUAUAAACACUUCCAUCUAUAUCUUCAUAUGUAGAAAGCACAGUUUCUUGCACAGGAGAGACGCAAUAAGUAUAGUGUCUAUUAUGACCACAUUUAUAAGUCAAAAAGGAGUUUGAAAUGUUUCUACUUAAAAAGUCCUCCUUUUUCAAAAAUUCUGUGAGACUUUGUGUAGAACAGGAAUUAUUACUUUCUUAAAGUGUGUAGUAGAAUUCACCAGUGAUAGCCUCUAUUCCUGGAGUUUCUUUUGUGCAAUGAUUUUAAACUAUAAAACCAGUUUAGUUGACAGCCUUGAGGCUAUUAAAUUGUAUCCUAAUUACAUCUAUUUCUUUUAAAUGUCUUUCUUAAAUUGACAAAUAAAUUGUAUGUUUUUAUGUAUAAUAUGAUGUUUUAAAGUAAAAUUAGCUAAUUAACAAA